rnacentral:rRNA from 1 species
UACGAAGGGUGCGAGCGUUAUUCGGAAUGAUUGGGCGUAAAGGGUGCGCAGGCGGCAUGUUAAGUCAACUGUUAAAUUCUUCAGCCUAACUGAAGGUCUGCAGUAGAUACUGGCAAGCUAGAGUGUGGAAGAGAGAAGUGGAAUUCUCGGAGUAGCGGUAAAAUGCGUAGAUCUCGAGAGGAACACCGAUGGCGAAGGCAGCUUCUUGGUCCACUACUGACGCUCAUGCACGAAAGCGUGGGGAGCAAACAGG